rnacentral:rRNA from 1 species
GACGAACGCUGGCGGCGUGCCUAAUACAUGCAAGUCGAACGAGAGCGACCGGUGCUUGCACUGGUCAAUCUAGUGGCGAACGGGUGAGUAACACGUGGGUAACCUGCCCAUCAGAGGGGGAUAACAUCCGGAAACGGAUGCUAAAACCGCAUAGGUCUUCGAGCCGCAUGGCUUGAAGAGGAAAAGAGGCGCAAGCUUCUGCUGAUGGAUGGACCCGCGGUGCAUUAGCUAGUUGGUGAGGUAACGGCUCACCAAAGCCGUGAUGCAUAGCCGACCUGAGAGGGUGAUCGGCCACAUUGGGACUGAGACACGGCCCAAACUCCUACGGGAGGCAGCAGUAGGGAAUCUUCCGCAAUGGACGCAAGUCUGACGGAGCAACGCCGCGUGAGUGAAGAAGGUUUUCGGAUCGUAAAACUCUGUUGUUAGAGAAGAACAAGUGCUAGAGUAACUGUUAGCGCCUUGACGGUAUCUAACCAGAAAGCCACGGCUAACUACGUG